rnacentral:rRNA from 1 species
GAUGAACGCUGGCGGCGUGCCUAAUACAUGCAAGUCGAGCGAACAGACGCGAAGCUUGCUCCUCUGACGUUAGCGGCGGACGGGUGAGUAACACGUGGAUAACCUACCUAUAAGCCUGGGAUAACUUCGGGAAACCGGACCUAUACCCGGUAAAUAAUUUGAACCCAACGGCUCAAUAGUGAAAGACAGUAUUACUGGUGCUUAUAGUUGUGUCCGCGCCGCAUUAGCUUGUUGGUAAGGUAAAGGAUUACCAAGGCAAGUAUGCGUAGCCGACCUGAGAUGGUGAGCGGCAAGACUAGAACUGGACCACGGUCCAGACUAGAAUGCGAGGCGGCGGUAGGGAAGCUUACGCUAGGGGCGAAAGCCUAACGGAGCCGAGCCGCGUGGGUGGUGAGGGUAUGGGGAUCGUAAAGCUCUGCUAUGUGGGAAGAACAAAUGUGUAGGUAACGAUGAACGAAUUGACGGUACCUAAUCAGAAAGCCACGGCUAACUACGUG